GGGGAUUAGCUCAGCUGGGAGAGCGCCUGCUUUGCAAGCAGGAGGUCAUCGGUUCGAUCCCGUUAUCCUCCA
rnacentral:tRNA from 1 species